rnacentral:rRNA from 1 species
AGCGAACGCUGGCGGCGGGCCUAACACAUGCAAGUCGAACGCGUGUAGCAAUACACGAGUGGCAGACGGGUGAGUAACACGUGGGAACGUGCCCUUCGGUUCGGAAUAACUCAGGGAAACUUGAGCUAAUACCGGAUACGCCCUUACGGGGAAAGAUUUAUCGCCGAUGGAUCGGCCCGCGUCUGAUUAGCUAGUUGGUGAGGUAACGGCUCACCAAGGCGACGAUCAGUAGCUGGUCUGAGAGGAUGAUCAGCCACACUGGGACUGAGACACGGCCCAGACUCCUACGGGAGGCAGCAGUGGGGAAUAUUGGACAAUGGGCGAAAGCCUGAUCCAGCCAUGCCGCGUGAGUGAUGAAGGCCCUAGGGUUGUAAAGCUCUUUCGGCGGGGACGAUAAUGACGGUACCCGCAGAAGAAGCCCCGGCUAACUUCGUGCCAGCCGCCGCCGUAAUAC